UUCAAGACAAAUUCAACGGGGUACCAUACGAUGAUUUUAACGGCAAUAUAAAACCAUGUGGAAUCAAGAAGAUUUAGCAUUUAAUUUUAAGAAAAAUCAGUGUCAACGUAGAAGUCAUAGGCAGAAUGACUUCUAACGUUCUCGUCAUUUGCCUGUUGUUAACAUGGUCGAGGGAUAUAUACGCCACAUUUGGCAAAGAACAUGUCCACAUAAAAAUACAUUUACCUGAACAAUCGCACCAUCAUAAGGAGGUGGUAGUUCAUGAUCACGGCGGUGGAGGUGGCCACGGAGGUGGUGGAGGA